AUAUUUAGUAUUUCGGUCGUCGACAAAGUUUAUUUUAGCUAUGGUCAGCGCCAUUUCAAAUUGCCAUAGUAACGACUGAUGCCAGUGUUUCACAGGCAGUAAUCAGCAAAUUGUCUGUGGUAUUGAGUUUGCAAGUGGAGAGUGAAUGGAAGAGAGUGAGGUUAGGGGCAGACAAUGAAGAUGGCACCAGCAAGUAGUAAUUCAACCAUGAACUGUAUAGCGCCAGCCUGUAGGAAUCGGCUCCAAAAACAAUCCCUCAGUACGUUACUGAACCCCAACUUUUGAAGAAGUGGCUCCAUGUUCUGAAGAGGAAGGACGUGCCAACUCGAACUUGCAGGAUCUGCUGCCAGCACUUUGAGGAGGAAGACUUUGAGAUGAAGGGUACUUUCGAUGCGGCAACUGGGAGUUUUCGAAUGGAAAGGGGUCAUAGGACUACUUUGAAACGCUCUGCUUGCACCUCCAUUUUCAAGGGUUAUGGGGUAGGGGUUACCGACCGACCAUCAUCAACAUCGCAGACUUCGGAGUCUAGCAAAAGCCGGACUGAACGGAGGAGGCGACUCGAGUCAAUGGAGAAACUGAGAAUGACAUCUUCAUGCCUGAAAAGGUUUUCAUCCUGGAGGAGACUGUGCAGGAGGAGACACAGGAGGAAAGAACGGUUAGUACAGCAUGCCAGACUGACCCCUGGGUGCCUGAGUGUUCCUGUGCUGCAGUGGAUCAGAGGUCCACAGGGACCAUCACUAAAGAGCUCGGAGCUCAGCUAGAUUGCGCUCACAACCAUCAGUAUACAACCGAGUCCUGCCCCUAUACGCCACAGAUGGAGCUGACAGAGAGUGAGAACAAUGAAGACCAGACCUCACUGUAUGAACCUGAGAGUUCAGAAACACAAUCAUCACAGUGCCAGCUAUAGUAUCGGAGAUAUAGUAUCGAAGAUAUAGUAUUGAAGCUAUUGUAUCGAAGAUAUAGUAUCGAAUAUAUAGUAUCGAAUAUAAAGUAUCAAAGAUAUAGUAUCAAAUAUAGAGUAUCAAAGAUAUAGUAUCAAAGAUAUAGUAUCGAAUAUAUAGUAUCAAAGAUAUAGUAUCGAAUAUAUAGUAUCGAAUAUAUAGUAUCGAAUAUAUAGUAUCAAAGAUAUAGUAUCGAAUAUAUAGUAUCAAAGAUAUAGUAUCGAAUAUAUAGUAUCAAAGAUAUAGUAUCGAAUAUAUAGUAUUGAAGAUAUAGUAUUGAAGAUAUAGUAUUGAAGAUAUAGUAUCGAAUAUAUAGUAUCAAAGAGUGUGUGCAAGAUCCCAAAUACAUAGUCAUUGAUAGCAAGCUGAAGGAGUUGUUAAAUGUCUGCCAUGAGCCAGGAUGUCGAGCAUGUGUGAUCAGUUCAUCCCUGAAAAUAAAUGGUUUUCCUAUCACCAUG